rnacentral:rRNA from 1 species
AUUAGAGUUUGAUCCUGGCUCAGAGCGAACGCUGGCGGCAGGCCUAACACAUGCAAGUCGAACGAACUCUUCGGAGUUAGUGGCGGACGGGUGAGUAACACGUGGGAACGUGCCUUUAGGUUCGGGAUAACUCAGGGAAACUUGUGCUAAUACCGAAUGUGCCCUUCGGGGGAAAGAUUUAUCGCCUUUAGAGCGGCCCGCGUCUGAUUAGCUAGUUGGUGAGGUAAAGGCUCACCAAGGCGACGAUCAGUAGCUGGUCUGAGAGGAUGAUCAGCCACAUUGGGACUGAGACACGGCCCAAACUCCUACGGGAGGCAGCAGUGGGGAAUCUUGCGCAAUGGGCGAAAGCCUGACGCAGCCAUGCCGCGUGAAUGAUGAAGGUCUUAGGAUUGUAAAAUUCUUUCACCGGGGACGAUAAUGACGGUACCCGGAGAAGAAGCCCCGGCUAACUUCGUGCCAGCAGCCGCGGUAAUACGAAGGGGGCUAGCGUUGCUCGGAAUUACUGGGCGUAAAGGGAGCGUAGGCGGACAUUUAAGUCAGGGGUGAAAUCCCGGGGCUCAACCUCGGAAUUGCCUUUGAUACUGGGUGUCUUGAGUAUGAGAGAGGUGUGUGGAACUCCGAGUGUAGAGGUGAAAUUCGUAGAUAUUC